CGGGCACCUACUCCUCCAGAAUGGUAAGUGGGUUUGUCAUAAAGGCUUCUUGUGAAAUGAGGAACCUCUAGACUUUCCUCCUCUGUUGGAUGAAUGUCCACCUCUCCAUGCAAUAGAUCUUCCAUAUUCUCUUCCCGGUUUAUAAGAUCUGGUAUCGCGAAAAGAGGGGUACUCAGAGUAUCUUCUGGCUCGAAAGGAUCCACGGGUUUUCCGGUCUUGUGGAAGAAAGGCUUUUUUACCUUCUGCAGCUCUUUUGAUG